UCAUAGUAUGAAGUCAGAGGUGUGCAUUCCAGCAAGAAUGCGCUUAAUAGGGAAGCACGGUGCAAUUCCGUCACGGUCCCGCCACUGUAAAUGCCGAGAUCCGAAUCGCAGCCACUGGAACCCUGGUUCUGGGAAGGAGAUUCCGAUUGUUGACGCAUAAGUCAGGAGACCUGCCUCUGAUGCUAGCAUCGC
rnacentral:ncRNA from 2 species